UACGUAGGGGGCAAGCGUUUGUCCGGAUUUAUUGGGCGUAAAGAGCGUGUAGGCGGUUAGGUAGGUCCGUUGUGAAAACUCGAGGCUCAACCUCGAGACGCCGAUGGAAACCAUCUGACUAGAGUCCGGAAGAGGAGAGUGGAAUUCCUGGUGUAGCGGUGAAAUGCGCAGAUAUCAGGAAGAACACCCGUGGCUAAGGCGGCUCUCUAGUACGGUACUGAC
rnacentral:rRNA from 1 species